GGCAGACUAGAGUGCGGUAGGGGGAGCGGAUUCCUGUGUAGGCGGUGGAAUGCGCAGAUAUCAGGAGGAACACCGAUGGCGAAGGCAGGUCUUGGGCCGCAACGACGCUGAGGAGCGAAAGCAUGGGGAGCGAACAGGAUUAGAUACCCUGGUAGUCCAUGCCGUAAACGUUGGGCACAGGUGUGGGGCUCAUUCCACGAGUUCCGUGCCGCAGCAAACGCAUUAAGUGCCCCGCCUGGGGAGUACGGCCGCAAGGCUAAAACUCAAAGGAAUUGAGGGGGCCCGCACAAGCGGCGGAGCAUGCGGAUUAAUUCGAUGCAACGCGAAGAACCUUACCAAGGCUUGACAUGCACGGGAAGCCACCAGAGAUGGUGGUCUCUUUGGACACUCGUGCACAGGUGGUGCAUGGUUGUCGUCAGCUCGUGUCGUGAGAUGUUGGGUUAAGUCCCGCAACGAGCGCAACCCUCGUCCCAUGUUGCCAGCGGGUUAUGCCGGGGACUCAUGGGAGACUGCCGGGGUCAACUCGGAGGAAGGUGGGGAUGACGUCAAAUCAUCAUGCCCCUUAUGUCUUGGGCUUCACGCAUGCUACAAUGGCCGGUACAAAGGGCUGCGAUACCGUAAGGUGGAGCGAAUCCCAAAAAGCCGGUCUCAGUUCGGAUUGGGGUCUGCAACUCGACCCCAUGAAGUCGGAGUCGCUAGUAAUCGCAGAUCCAGCAACGCUGCGG
rnacentral:rRNA from 1 species